rfam:Planctomycetes bacterium RBG_13_50_24 RBG_13_scaffold_17691, whole genome shotgun sequence.
UUAUCAGUUAAAGUCCGACCGUGGGAGUUCGGUAGUUCGCCCACGUAGCUUGAGGGAGUAAAGGGUAACCUGAAGCAUUAAGUUCCCUGACAAAGGCUCCUUAGGGGAGUCGAGCAAACCUGCGGGUCGCAGCGCGA